rnacentral:lncRNA from 1 species
AUUUUAUUUAGCACAACGCGAAAGUGUCAACAUCACUUUACUUUCAUGGUAAAUAGUAGAAAAUUAGUCUUUUUUGCGACCGUUUUCACCGUUUCACCGCUUCUUGGCUUUUUGCAAAGUUUUGAUAAAAGAUAAGAGGCUUCUUGUUUACAAUUUUUCCAAGGAGGCAACAUGACAAAUCAAAUAGUGUGAGGAUUGGUUUCAUUUUCAAGGACCCUAACUUCGCUGAUUGAAUGACAAAUAUUACGUUUUCCAGUCUCGGUAAAAUCUUCCUAGAGAUUGAUCUGUUUGUCUCGAAAUCCCACAAAAAACUGAGAGAGUCUACAAUUUUUUAGGGAGCUGAGUUUCGAAUGUUUGUGAAAUUUUUUUGGUUCAAUGUUGGCAAAACAUGUUUACCAAUUUCUCAACGCGAUUGAACGUGAGUUUUCAUUCUCUUUUUUAGUUGCAAAAAUUUAGUUUUUUUAUUAUUUUCAAUGGCUGAUAAUGAUUACGAUCACAAAAGAGCUCAUAGGCAUCACCACCAUCAUCAUCGACACCAUCAUCGCCAUAAACGACACAAAGUCAGAUCACAUGCAGAUGAGCCGGAAGAAGAGCUUUACAGACACAAAAAGUACUAUGCAGAUGACCCUGAAGAAGAACCCCGCAGGCAUAAAAAGUGAGUAGUCUUGUCUGUCAUU